rnacentral:sRNA from 1 species
CCUUGUUUUGGGGUCUGCUUCUGAGAGCUGGGCCUGAGCAGUGAGUCUUGUCCAUGGAGAAGAAGCUGGACUUCCUGGUGAAUAUCUACAUGCAGCGGAU